GAGGACAAGCUCAGCAAGGACAAGCUCAGCAAGCAUCACCUCAGCCACCAAACCAAGGAGGAUCUCAGGCACCAAACCAAGGAGAAUCUCAGCCACCAAACCAAGGAGGAAAUAAGGUAAUGGAUUUAUCUUGGUGCUUAAUUUAACAUUGGUUUAAUGUUAUUCAAUGUUUUGAACCUUUGUGGUUGCAUGUUCACAGAAAAAUAAGAAGAAAAGUAAGGGGGCAAGUGGCAGUGGAACUCAUGGAGCAAAUGAAGGAGGAUCUCAGCCACCAAAUCAGCCACUUACUCAGGGUUCUGUGUUCAAUGAUGGUGUUUUGAGUCAGCAAAGAUCAUCACAAGCAGGAAGUGCAAUAACUGAGGGUGGAAAUGAAAGGGAAACAGGAGCAUUAAGGACCAGAAAGAGAACAAGAGCAUCAUUGGCUGCUGUGGGGACUCAAUGAAGUCAGACUUCAAGAUCAUCAUUUGUCUAAGAACCUAUUUUUAUGUCUUUGAACUUGUAAUUUGUUUUGUAGUUUGAACCUCUGUGUAUUGACUGAGAAGUUACUCAUGUUGUGAUGUCUAAGAACCUGUGUGAUGUUUUGAACCUAUGUGAUGUU
rnacentral:lncRNA from 1 species